rnacentral:misc_RNA from 1 species
AAGUCGUAACAAGGUUUCCGUAGGUGAACCUGCGGAAGGAUCAUUACAGAGGACUUGCCCUUCGGGGUAGAUCUCCCACCCUUUGUUUACAUUACCUUUGUUGCUUUGGCGGGCCCGUCUCCAGACCACCGGCACUAGCUGGUCAGUGCCCGCCAGAGGACCUAAAACUCUUUAAUAUAUGUCGUCUAAGUACUACUAAAUAGUUAAAA